UCUUUAGGCAGACCUGUAUUUUCCUUUGCAUGGGGAUUCUUUAGAUAACACAAUGAACAAAUACAUAAAUAAGUGAAAUCAAGAACAUAAAUUCACACUGCUUUGGUCUCUUGCCUCUGAAAAUUGUAGGUACAAUCUUAAGAACAAAGACAGAAACAAAUAAUUGACGUGGGUCAGGAAAACAGAACACCUCUGUAGCUAAUUUAAGGGCAAGAGGUGGAAGCAAGGAGAAGUCAGAGUGCCUUAAGAGAUUCCUCAUCUGCUUCAUUUCUUAAUAGAUUCCUGAUCAGAGCCAUCAAGGCUCUGAGCUUUAAUUCCUCUGUGUCAAUGUCCACCUUGUCAUAGAACCAUAGAAUCAUAGAGCAUCUUGGGUUGGAAGGGACCUUAAAGAUCAUCUAGUUCAUUACAUAACACAACAGUAUUGCUUCAUGGUGGUAGUUUAAAAAUUAAUUGGCCACUGUUUAUGAAAUUAGUUUCUAAAUGCUAAUGAGGAACAAUACAAUUUUCUCAAAUUUGGCUGAGAAUUGUAUAUUACAUUUUGACUCCAUUUCAGUGAAAGUCAUGAUUUUCUAUUUCAGUCUGGCUACUCAGUGAAUGGGAAGUAGGUAUACCAAUGAAUUCAUUGAAAAUGCUCAGUAGGGUAAAUGCAUGGAAACAACUGGUGCAAAAACUAGCCAGGUGUUUUCAAUUCUAGAAUAAAAACUGAUUUCCUCAGAGAAAGUAGGGACCACACUCUCCUUUAGUAAAGGUGAUCUGUCUUAGGCAGUUGGUUUACUUUGAUCACCUGUGCUGUUCAGAUGGAGAGGGAGAGAUGCAGUUGUUUCUUUCUUCCAAAACUUCAGUAAUGGACUCCCUCAAUAGGCAGCAAGCUGUAAUACCAGAUAUGCCCUGAUAACCUGAAGAAUAUGGGACAUAGUCUCUGUGUGAAGAUCAAAAUUAAGUUCACAGGUGCUGGAUCCCAGUUCAGCUCUGGCCUGAUCUUCUACUGCAUUGGAGAUGGAGAAAUUGGACCUUUCUCAAUCCAGAAUGAAGUUUCUUCUCUAGCACAGGAGUGCUGGUUGGUUUUUAACAUAUGAGCAACCACUAUAUGAAUGCAGCGCAGGAUAGAUCCUUGGCUGAUGUAUGUUGGCCUGACUCCACUGAAGUCAUAUGAAACUAUGAAAAUUGUCAGCAGCUGUGGAUCUGCUGUUUUGUGUAUGCUCACAUUCAUUACAAGAAAUCAUUCUUUCUAUGAAUGAUGAACAAGCUCUUAGAAAAAUCUUAUUCAUUCUAAAGACUGAAUCUUUAGUCUCAACUUUCCCAAAGUGUUGAACACUGUGGCCCUUGCUUUAGCUCUUUGAAGCUGUACUGCAACAUAACCCUUCUUUUCUUUUUUACUUCUUUCCCUUGAACAGCCUCACUAUCAGAGCACUUGAGUGGGCCUCCAGAAAUCUGUUCUUGCUACAGGCCCCCUUCAGCUGAUACUUUAGACUUUCUAAUUUUAGUAGGCUAAGAUUUACAACUGUGGCCCGCUGCAUGUGGGUGAAGAGACUUAAUUUUUCAGUAGCUCCAGUACUACAGUGAUGCAACCAUGACUAAUCCUACAAAUAACAUGUGUGCAUGUAUAUAUGUGUGUAUUUGUGUUUAUACAUGUAUGUGUAUAUACACAUGCUUUGAGUCUCACUCACACUUGUGUCGGAAUUGGGCACGUGAAAAAAAAAAAAUAAUGAUAAAGUAUAAUAAUUUAGAACUUGGCAGGCUGAAGGGUGCUAUCUCUUUGUGCAAUCUCACAAAAUCAUGAUGAAUUGCCUAGACAGGAAAGGGACAAUGCCCCAAAGCUUAUUUCCUCUGCAUGCAUGUGUGUUUUUUCUUGUUCUCUCUAUUUUCCCUGUGCUUUUUACCACUGCAAAAAUUCUUUUAAAUCUUCCUGGUGCAUAUGCAAGUGAUUUAAUUUAAAUAAAUUCAAUUAUGCUGAAAA